rnacentral:rRNA from 1 species
UACGUAGGGUGCAAGCGUUGUACGGAAUUAUUGGGCGUAAAGAGCUCGUAGGCGGCUUGUCGCGUCUGCUGUGAAAACUCGGGGCUUAACCCCGGGCCUGCAGUGGGUACGGGCAGACUAGAGUGCGGUAGGGGAGACUGGAAUUCCUGGUGUAGCGGUGAAAUGCGCAGAUAUCAGGAGGAACACCGGUGGCGAAGGCGGGUCUCUGGGCCGUAACUGACGCUGAGGAGCGAAAGCGUGGGGAGCGAACAGG